GGCCCGGAAGGAGCUGAUAUGAACUGGGGCUUCGGCAGCCAUCGCUCUUUGCAGUUUGGUCUCCGAGUGUGGUGCUGACGCUAAGCGGGGAAUUGCGUUCUCUCCAGUCGCAGACCCUAUCAGAUUUGGAUAUGUCCUUCAUAUUUGAUUGGAUUUACAGUGGUUUCAGCAGUGUGCUACAGUUUUUAGGAUUAUAUAAGAAAACUGGUAAAUUGGUAUUUCUUGGAUUGGAUAAUGCGGGAAAAACAACAUUGCUACACAUGCUAAAAGAUGACAGACUUGGACAGCACGUCCCAACAUUACAUCCCA